rnacentral:lncRNA from 1 species
GAUACCUCCAGGAGAGUAUCUUUAUGACCUAAGGGGUUAAAAAGAAUUUCUUAGAAAAGAUGCAAAAAACACAACUCAGGAGUGAAAAGAUUGAUAAAUUUGAGUAAGUUUACAUAUUAUGAUUUACGGAUGUAAUGUAUAAGAAUAUGGCCUAGCGCUAUACACAGAGAUGUUGCCUCUGGACAGAGGGAGCGGGGAGGAUGAGACAUUAUUUUAUCCAUAAUGUUAAAAGCAACGAAAUGUUGACAUUGGUUAAUUCUGGAUGGUGGGAACGUGAGAGCUUGUUAUAUUUAUAAAUAUUUUUGGAUUUAAAUUUAUUUUCAAGAAAAGACAAAGAGUGCCUGCUGUGGCAGCAUAUUGACUGAAAAAGGAAACCGAGAGCAUCUACCAAGCCAGAUCAGCAUGCAAUGUGGAAGCGACAUUUGUGUCAGGGGAAAUGCCUGGCCCCAAAAGACUGAUUCUGGCGCUGGCCCUGCCGUCAACGAGCUGUGUCCAUGGGUCAGGACCUUCCCUCUCGGAGCCUUUCCACUCUGGAAAACAAGAGGAUGGAACUGACUCCCUGCUGAAGACUGCUCCUUUACCAGCUCACAUUUUCUCUUCUCUCCAUAGGAGAGGUUACAACAACUACAGGGGCAGAGAAGGAAGAAUGGAUGGAGAAGAGCAUUCUCGUAAGCAGAAGCUCUACAUGAGUGCAUGGAAACUAUUAGCGCUUCCCCAACUCUGCUGCUGCCAUGAUUUGUGUCUGAGCCACACCAAGGCUUGGCUGCAACCAACACAACCACCCAGAGGAGAAAAGUCUGUAACCACGUUUAACCGUGAUCCCCGCAACGCUCCAAUAUCUUAAAAUGCAGCCAGCCUGUUCUGCCCUUGGAGCACAGCUCAGCUGCUGUCUGGGUGAAGGU